UACUAUUUUGGCAGAGAAGUGCAUCAAAUUUAGAAUUUGAAUAUAAGGUUUGUUGUCCUUAAGUAGUA
rnacentral:tRNA from 1 species